GUGUCAGCCGCCGCGGUAAUACGUAGGGUGCAAGCGUUAAUCGGAAUUACUGGGCGUAAAGCGUGCGCAGGCGGUUUUGUAAGACAGUGGUGAAAUCCCCUGGCUCAACCUGAGAACUGCCAUUGUGACUGCAAAGCUAGAGUGCGGCAGAGGGGGAUGGAAUUCCGCGUGUAGCAGUGAAAUGCGUAGAUAUGCGGAGGAACACCGAUGGCGAAGGCAAUCCCCUGGGCCUGCACUGACGCUCAUGCACGAAAGCGUGGGGAGCAAACAGGAUUAGAUACCCUGGUAGUCCACGCCCUAAACGAUGUCAACCGGUUGUUGGGAAUUUAUUUUCUCAGUAACGAAGCUAACGCGUGAAGUUGACCGCCUGGGGAGUACGGCCGCAAGGUUAAAACUCAAAGGAAUUGACGG
rnacentral:rRNA from 1 species